AAGAUCGUGCUUCAUAGGAUCAUUUCUAUAGUGCGAUCGCCGAGACGCAUCCGCGAUCUCGGAACACACUCGACCACGAUGAUGAGUCGAGGGUCUCCGCCUGAGCGUGAAGCCGGCUUCGAUACCUUGGGCUCGCCCGGGUUCCAGCCCUUGAUGACCGUUCUUCUGGCUUUAUGAGGCCUCGAGGAUGGCGGAGACUCAGCCUGAGUGGC